rnacentral:rRNA from 1 species
CCUACGGGGGGCAGCAGUGAGGAAUAUUGGUCAAUGGGCUUACGCCUGAACCAGCCAAGUCGCGUGAGGGAAGACUGCCCUAUGGGUUGUAAACCUCUUUUGUCAGGGAGCAAUUGGCGCUACGUGUAGCGUUAUCGAGAGUACCUGAAGAAAAAGCAUCGGCUAACUCCGUGCCAGCAGCCGCGGUAAUACGGAGGAUGCGAGCGUUAUCCGGAUUUAUUGGGUUUAAAGGGUGCGUAGGCGGAAUGCCAAGUCAGCGGUAAAAUCGCGGGGCUCAACCUCGCUCCGCCGUUGAAACUGGCGGUCUUGAGUGGGCGAGAAGUAUGCGGAAUGCGUGGUGUAGCGGUGAAAUGCAUAGAUAUCACGCAGAACUCCGAUUGCGAAGGCAGCAUAUCGGAGCCCAACUGACGCUGAAGCACGAAAGCGUGGGUAUCGAACAGGAUUAGAUACCCCUGUAGUC